AGGGGAACUCUAGUUAUUGAAUAAUUAGAUAUUUAUCCAUACUACCAGCUUUAAUUUCAACUAUUGAUAAUAUCUUAUAUCGUGAAAGACACUCGAAAAAAAUUAUAACAUUAUUAAACUUAUUUAUAAUGAUAAAACGCCUUGUAGCAAUCAAUUGUAAAAUCAACAAUGGUUUUAAGAUAAUAAAUUUAUCGGACUACAUUUAAAAUGAUCAAAUAAACAUAAUAUUCAGUGCCAUACUAAUUGGCAUCCUAGUAAAUAAUAAUAUAUUUUGAACUCUUAUUUAAUAUAAGUAGAAAUUUAAUACACUUUCCAUGAAAGAUUUUACAUAAGUUAAAUACUAUAUCAAAGCACAAUAAUCUAAUCUCAACAAUAUACCGAGUGGUUCAUUUAGGCCAUUAACUAAUAAACUGAUAUUGUCAAGAAUGUUUUAUAUACGCAAGUUUACAACCUAUAUCAUUUUUAAGUAUCAUACCUCAUUUAGACUGCCCAAUGCGUAACCAAUCUGUCCAGCUGGGUAAGUGGAAACAAAAGAAGUAGCAUAUGCUGCUUUCAAAAAAACGUCUUUGCAGUGUCUCCGCAUAGAAGAGGCAUUUUUCAAGUGUCCCCAGAACGUAUCUGCUUGAGAACAAACUAUACCACCAGGUCUCAAUGCUUUUUUCAUUAGUUCAAAGUAAGA